rnacentral:misc_RNA from 1 species
AUUCAUGGACUGCGUUAUCUGAAUCCCCUCAGCUACAACAUUAUCUUCCGUGGGCAGCGGUGAAGAAAUCGGCUUAAAAGGAGAUCAAUCAGAAAAAUUAGAUUGGUACUCCGUGGAAGGACUCAGAGACGAUGGUGAUGACAAAGGAUGAAAUGCCGGAAUUGAUUCCGGCUUUCCCGUUCACCACGAACGACACGAAAGAAGGGAUAAAUUUUUCCUCCGAUGAAUACUGUUCAAACCAACGCCACGCAGAGAUUGAGAUGAUGAAUCAGAUUGCGAGUCAGGAGUCGUCGCCAUUAGGGUUCAGAGAGAGAAAAG